UACGGAGGGUUCAAGCGUUAUCCGGAUUCACUGGGUUUAAAGGGUGCGUAGGCGGGCAUUUAAGUCAGUGGUGAAAUACCUGAGCUUAACUUGGGAACUGCCAUUGAUACUAUUUGUCUUGAAUGUCGUGGAGGUUAGCGGAAUAUGUCAUGUAGCGGUGAAAUGCUUAGAUAUGACAUAGAACACCUAUUGCGAAGGCAGCUAACUACGCGAAUAUUGACGCUGAGGCACGAAAGCGUGGGGAUCAAACAGG
rnacentral:rRNA from 1 species